UCCGCAUGGUUUUAUAUAGAGCAGUGCUUCCCCUGGCUGACUCUCACUCCUACACUCUGCUCCCCUUUACAAGAGCAGUUGUCCUCAGCCGGGAAAUCCAUGCUUUGCCAAGCUAUGGGUGCCACUCAAUACUUCUGCAAAUCAGACAUCAGGGUCUCAUCUCAGAUACCUAGAAGGUCAGUGGCCACCUGUAAGGUCUGCUUUAAGCAGCUUGACCAGCACUGCACAGGAGCUUUGUGGUGGAGGCAGCAGUGAUGGACAGCUGUCUUAACCUUGAA